AUUGAACGCUGGCGGCAUGCCUUACACAUGCAAGUCGAACGGCAGCACGGGAGCUUGCUCCUGGUGGCGAGUGGCGAACGGGUGAGUAAUACAUCGGAACGUACCCUGAAGUGGGGGAUAACGUAGCGAAAGUUACGCUAAUACCGCAUAUUCUGUGAGCAGGAAAGAGGGGGAUCGCAAGACCUCUUGCUUUAGGAGCGGCCGAUGUCGGAUUAGCUAGUUGGUGAGGUAAAGGCUCACCAAGGCGACGAUCCGUAGCGGGUCUGAGAGGAUGAUCCGCCACACUGGGACUGAGACACGGCCCAGACUCCUACGGGAGGCAGCAGUGGGGAAUUUUGGACAAUGGGCGCAAGCCUGAUCCAGCAAUGCCGCGUGUGUGAAGAAGGCCUUCGGUUGUAAGCACUUUAUCAGGAACGAAAAGACGUUGGAUUAAUAACUCUGACGUGCUGACGGUACCUGAGGAAUAAGCACCGGCUAACUUCGUGCCAGCAG
rnacentral:rRNA from 1 species